GACGAACCGUGCGAACGUUAUUCGGAAUCACUGGGCUUAAAGCGCGUGUAGGCGGCCCGGCACGUCCGUCGCUGAAAUCCCCCGGCUCAACCGGGGAAGUGGCGUGGAUACGACCGGGCUGGAGGGGGGUAGGGGGAGCCGGAACUUCCGGUGGAGCGGUGAAAUGCGUUGAGAUCGGAAGGAACGCCCGUGGCGAAAGCGGGCUCCUGGACCCCACCUGACGCUGAGACGCGAAAGCCA
rnacentral:rRNA from 1 species